GGGCCCCAGCUGGGGGGUUAAAUGAGUGUAGAGUGAGCAGGGAAAGUCUGUGCUGUGUUCAUGGGCGGAAAAAACAAAGGGGGUAUGACUGCUGUGCAAGGAGCAGUAAGGUGGCUGGAAGAUAUGUGAUUUGUCUUGGUUUUGGGGCUGUCUGCAUUGUGCCCGGGUGAUUCAAGAAGUAAUUGGGUGAUGGCCGAUGUGGGAAGCUCUGACAAGCAAGGUGCUGCCUCCAGGCCAGGAUGUCUCCUGGAUGAAGAGCCAGGGUUUCAUCAUCCAGAAGGUUGUCUGGAGCAGCACUCAGAUAAGAGAGAUGAAGUUGAUCAACUGUUUGCUGUGCUGUGGGUCCUGAAUGAGAACACCCUGUCUCUGCUGUUCUCUGGAACUGUGAAUUCCCCAGCUUAUGCUCCGUGGGCUUAAAUAAGACCUCUGCUUCUAUUUGGAAGUAGGUUUUUUUGUUUUCUUGAAUAAAACAUCUUCUCCGAUGCUGUUGCCCCUCCCCAGGCCAUAGUCAAGCAGCAUCUCAGGCUAGUUCCUUAAAUCAAGAGAACUGUUUAUGUCCUUGGAGGCUGGAAUAAUAACAGCUGAAGAAAGCCAUGAGACGCAGGAGGAAUUCAUUUGUAAGUUAAUGAAGGCUGUGCAGUGCAGCGGAAGGAUGGUCGGGGAUGUUCCUGGGCAGCAUUUACCAAGCUAGAUUUCUUUCUGUUGGCAUUGUUCUCCCUUGAAGCAUUGUGGACCAGCUUAAAUACCACUUAUGUAUGAGUUUAUUAUAGUUUUCCUUCUUCCAAAGAUGUGCUCUGUGUAACAGCCAGUGUCCAGCAUUGUGGCAAAAAUGGAGGAAAGCUCUCAAAAGAGAGAACCUACUUGCUGGUUACAUGCCUGUUAAAAUAGAGAAGGAAAAAAAAAGGAUGCUUGAGUGGACAAAGUGUUGCUGCUCGAGUUGGUGAGGCUUGGGGCUGUUCAGCAGCUGAAGCCAGCCCUUUGCCUCCUCUCUCAGCACCUGGCCCAGGAGAUCGGGCAGCAGCCUGCUGGCAGGGGGGCUCCGGGAAAGCAGCUUGUUCCUUGUCCUGCAGUCAGCUGCUGGCAGCAGGGCUGACAGCUGAUGGUCGGUGUGCCUUCUGGGCUGCGGAAGCCUUUCCAAGUGCAAAUGGGCUUGUUUCAUAUCAGCCAGUGAAUAGCUGCCCAACAGUAAAUUGGGCUUUGCAAAUAAAUUGAUUCUUUUCACCCCUUCCGGACCAGCAGCACAACUGGAAAAUUCAGCUUGGAUCAAAGAGAGGAGAUAAAGACUCUGAGUCCUUUCUGUGCCCAGAGGAACUUUCUGUUGUUUCCCUCUACUUGCAAUCCAUCAUUCAGUCUGAGGCAAAAUCAACCGGUCUGGGGUUUCUUCAAGAAAAAACAAGGGAAUUUGAAGCCUGCAUUCUUGAAGCCAGCAGCGCCUGCUUUUCCACCAGCCAGUGUGUGCUUUGGAGGUGCUCUCCUGGUGGGAAAAUGGGAUCCUGGAGGGAACAAACGCUGAGGUUCUGCCUGGGCACUGGGGUGGUCAGAGCAGGCCAGCGGUGGCGUAUUACAGCGCUGCUUCUGCUGUGAGUCAGAAGCAGACUCGUCACCGUCAUGUGGCUUUCCAGUCACAAGGACGUGUUUGUCCUCUCUCACGCUUACACUGCUGUGGCUCUUGAAGGAGCCUGAACUCGGUUCCAUGACUUACUCUGCAGCAAGACCUUCGCUAUCCAAAGGAGCAGACCUGCUUCUGUGUUCUCUUUCUGCCUCUUACCAGCUUAGGUUUUAGAUCUCCAACCCUUAGAUGCAGGAGAACCUAACGCAGACCUUGGUGGCCAGAGCUCUCCUGCAGAAGCAGGCUGCAGCUGUAGUCCCUGUGGAUCUUGAUCCAUGAUAGAGCCAGAACCUGUGCCCUGCCUUCCCCUGAUGUAGGAGCACAAGUGGGUUUCUUUUCCAUCUAGUUGCUUCUUGACAUGCAGGGUGUAAAAACAUAAAUCCAGCUAAUGCUGAUAGAGGCGUAGAGGUCUCAUAGUAAUUAAACACCAAGCUCAGAAGUUACCGAGAGUGGGAGGGGAAAGGAGCUGCAAACAGCAUAAUCGUAUCAGCUG